rnacentral:rRNA from 1 species
AUCCAGACUCCUACGGGAGGCAGCAGUGGGGGAUAUUGCACAAUGGGGGGAACCCUGAUGCAGCGACGCCGCGUGGGUGAAGAAGUAUUUCGGUAUGUAAAGCCCUAUCGGCAGGGAAGAAAUUGGACGGUACCUGACUAAGAAGCCCCGACUAACUACGUGCCAGCAGCCGCGGUAAUACGUAGGGGGCAAGCGUUAUCCGGAUUCACUGGGUGUAAAGGGAGCGUAGACGGCCAUGCAAGCCUGGAGUGAAAGCCCGGGGCCCAACCCCGGGACUGCAUUCGGAACUGUAAGGCUAGAGUGUCGGAGAGGCAGGCGGAAUUCCUAGUGUAGCGGUGAAAUGCGUAGAUAUUAGGAGGAACACCAGUGGCGAAGGCGGCCUGCUGGACGAUGACUGACGUUGAGGCUCGAAAGCGUGGGGAGCAAACAGGAUUAGAUACCCGAGUAUU